rnacentral:rRNA from 1 species
GAGUUUGAUCAUGGCUCAGAGCGAACGCUGGCGGCAGGCCUAACACAUGCAAGUCGAACGGACCCUUCGGGGUUAGUGGCGGACGGGUGAGUAACACGUGGGAACGUGCCUUUAGGUUCGGAAUAGCUCCUGGAAACGGGUGGUAAUGCCGAAUGUGCCCUUCGGGGGAAGAUUUAUCGCCUUAGAGCGGCCCGCGUCUGAUUAGCUAGUUGGUGAGGUAACGGCUCACCAAGGCGACGAUCAGUAGCUGGUCUGAGAGGAUGACCAGCCACACUGGGACUGAGACACGGCCCAGACUCCUACGGGAGGCAGCAGUGGGGAAUCUUGCGCAAUGGGCGAAAGCCUGACGCAGCCAUGCCGCGUGAAUGAUGAAGGUCUUAGGAUUGUAAAAUUCUUUCACCGGGGACGAUAAUGACGGUACCCGGAGAAGAAGCCCCGGCUAACUUCGUGCCAGCCGCCGCGGUAAC